rnacentral:rRNA from 1 species
UACCUACGGGUGGCAGCAGUAGGGAAUCUUCCGCAAUGGACGAAAGUCUGACGGAGCAACGCCGCGUGAGUGAAGAAGGUUUUCGGAUCGUAAAACUCUGUUGUCAGAGAAGAACAAGUUGGAGAGUAACUGCUCCAGCCUUGACGGUAUCUGACCAGAAAGCCACGGCUAACUACGUGCCAGCAGCCGCGGUAAUACGUAGGUGGCAAGCGUUGUCCGGAUUUAUUGGGCGUAAAGCGAGCGCAGGCGGGUCCUUAAGUCUGAUGGGAAAGCCCACGGCUCAACCGUGGAAGGUCAUUGGAAACUGGGGAACUUGAGUGCAGAAGAGGAGAGUGGAAUUCCAUGUGUAGCGGUGAAAUGCGUAGAUAUAUGGAGGAACACCAGUGGCGAAGGCGACUCUCUGGUCUGUAACUGACGCUGAGGCUCGAAAGCGUGGGGAGCAAACAGGAUUAGAUACCCUAGUAGUCC